GACAGAGGCCUCAAGCGUUAGGCGGAAUCACUGGGCUUAAAGCGUGUGUAGGCGGCUCGUUAAGUACCUUGUGAAAUCCCACGGCUCACCCGUGGAACUGCUGGGUAUACUGGCGGUCUUGGGCCAACUAGGGGCAGCUGGAACAAGCGGUGGAGCGGUGAAAUGCGUAGAUAUCGCUUGGAACGCCGAAGGUGAAAACAGGCUGCUGGGGUUGUGCCGACGCUGAGACACGAAAGCCAGGGGAGCAAACGGG
rnacentral:rRNA from 1 species